rnacentral:rRNA from 1 species
AGUGAACGCUGGCGGUAGGCCUAACACAUGCAAGUCGAACGGCAGCACAGUACGAGCUUGCUCUUACGGGUUGCGAGUGGCGUACGUGUGAGGAAUGCAUCGUACUCUACUUUUUCGUGUGGGUUCACGUAGGUAAACCUACUCUCAUACCGCAUACCCUCUACGGUUGUAAGCAUUGGAUCUUCUCACCUUGCGCGAUUGAAUUAGCCGAUGUGGGAUUAGCUAGUUGGCGGGUUAAAGACCCACCAAGGCGACGAUCCGUAGCUGGUCUGAGAGGAUGGUCGGCGACACUGGAAGGGAGACAGGGACAAGACGACUAAGGGAGGCAGCAGUGGGGAAUGUUGGACAAUGGGCGCAAGCAUGAUCCAGCCAGAGCGAGUGGGUGAAGAAGGCCUUCGGGUUGUAAAGCCCGUUUGUUGGGAAAGAAAAGCAGCAGGUUAAGACCAAGCGGUUGUGACGGUACCCAAAGAAGAAGCACCGGCUAACUACGUG